GUGGGGAGCAUGUGGUUUAAUUCGAAGCAACGCGAAGAACCUUACCAGGUCUUGACAUCCUUUGACCACUCUAGAGAUAGAGCUUUCCCCUUCGGGGGACAAAGUGACAGGUGGUGCAUGGUUGUCGUCAGCUCGUGUCGUGAGAUGUUGGGUUAAGUCCCGCAACGAGCGCAACCCUUGACCUUAGUUGCCAGCAUUCAGUUGGGCACUCUAAGGUGACUGCCGGUGACAAACCGGAGGAAGGUGGGGAUGACGUCAAAUCAUCAUGCCCCUUAUGACCUGGGCUACACACGUGCUACAAUGGAAU
rnacentral:rRNA from 2 species